rnacentral:rRNA from 1 species
UACGUAGGGUGCAGGCGUUAAUCGGAAUUACUGGGCGUAAAGCGUGCGCAGGCGGUUUGCUAAGACAGGUGUGAAAUCCCCGGGCUUAACCUGGGAACUGCGCUUGUAACUGGCAAGCUAGAGUGUGGCAGAGGGGGGUGGAAUUCCACGUGUAGCAGUGAAAUGCGUAGAGAUGUGGAGGAACACCGAUGGCGAAGGCAGCCCCCUGGGCUAACACUGACGCUCAUGCACGAAAGCGUGGGGAGUAAACAGG